rnacentral:rRNA from 1 species
GAUGAACGCUGGCGGCGUGCCUAAUACAUGCAAGUCGAGCGAACAGACGAGGAGCUUGCUCCUCUGACGUUAGCGGCGGACGGGUGAGUAACACGUGGAUAACCUACCUAUAAGACUGGGAUAACUUCGGGAAACCGGAGCUAAUACCGGAUAAUAUAUUGAACCGCAUGGUUCAAUAGUGAAAGACGGUUUUGCUGUCACUUAUAGAUGGAUCCGCGCCGCAUUAGCUAGUUGGUAAGGUAACGGCUUACCAAGGCAACGAUGCGUAGCCGACCGGAGAGGGUGAAGGGCGACAUGGGGACGGAGAUACGGGCCAGCAUCCUACGGGAGGGAGUAGUGGGGGAUAGUGCAAAAUGGGCGGAAGCCUGAUGCAGCAACGCCGCGUGCGGGAUGACGGCCUUCGGGUUGUAAACCGAUUUCGCCUGUGACGAAGCGUGAGUGACGGUAAUGGGUAAAGAAGCACCGGCUAACUACGUG